rnacentral:rRNA from 1 species
CCUACGGGAGGCAGCAGUGGGGAAUAUUGGGCAAUGGGCGCAAGCCUGACCCAGCAACGCCGCGUGAAGGAAGAAGGCUUUCGGGUUGUAAACUUCUUUUCUCAGGGACGAAGCAAGUGACGGUACCUGAGGAAUAAGCCACGGCUAACUACGUGCCAGCAGCCGCGGUAAUACGUAGGUGGCAAGCGUUAUCCGGAUUUAUUGGGUGUAAAGGGCGUGUAGGCGGGAGCGCAAGUCAGAUGUGAAAACUCAGGGCUCAACCCUUAGCCUGCAUUUGAAACUGUGUUUCUUGAGUGCUGGGGAGGCAAUCGGAAUUCCGUGUGUAGCGGUGAAAUGCGUAGAUAUACGGAGGAACACCAGUGGCGAAGGCGGAUUGCUGGACAGUAACUGACGCUGAGGCGCGAAAGCGUGGGGAGCAAACAGGAUUAGAUACCCCAGUAGUC